GAAAAACCAGGAAGAGAGAGAGAGAGUCCUGGAAGGAUCUAUGAACAAUAGAGAAAGAGACAAUAGAGAUUGGCUGGAUUUACCGUGUAUGAGCUGGAUUGUUUUGGACUUACCUGUUGGCGUUUGGACCUGGACCUACCGAGAACACGAUUCGUGUACCGAACCCUGCUAUCCUUGACCUCGCCUACGGCCUGGGUGGACCAGGACGGAGAAACAAACACACAGGAUGCCAUCUAUUUUGUGAAGUGCACCAGUCCCUCCUGCAGCAAAGCACCCCCACAACAUGAUGCUGCCAUCUCCGUGCUUCACGGUUGGGAUGGUGUUCUUCGGCUUGCAAGCCUCCCCUUUUUCCUCCAAACAUAACGAUGGUCAUUAUGGCCAAACAGUUCUAUUUUUAUUUCAGACCAUAGGAUAUUUCUCCAAAAAGUACAAUCUUUGUCCCAAUGUGCAGUUGCAAACCGUAGUCUGGCUUUUUUUAUGGAGGUUUUGGAGCAGUGGCUUCUUCCUUGCUCAGCGGCUUUUCAGGUUAUGUCGAUAUAGGACUCGUUUUACUGUGGAUAUAGAUACUUUUGUACCUGUUUCCUCCAACAUCUUCACAAGGUCCUUUGCUCUUUCCGCACCAAAGUACGUUCAUCUCUAGGAGACAGAACGCGUCUCCUUCCUGAGCGGUAUGACGGCUGUGUGGUCCCAUGGCAUUUAUACUUGCGCACUAUUGUUUGUACAGAUGAAUGUGGUACCUUCAGGUGUUUGGAAAUUGCUCCCAAGGAUGAACCAGACUUGUGAAGGUCUAAAAUGUUUUUUUUCUUAAGUCUUGGCUGAUUUCGUUUGAUUUUCCCAUGAUGUCAAGCAAAGAGGCACUGAGUUUGAAGGUAGGCUUUGAAAUACAUCCACAGGUACACCUCCAAUUGACUCAAAUUAUGUCAACUAGCCUAUCAGAAACUUCAAAAGCCAUGACAUCAUUUUCUGGAAUUUCCAAGCUGUUUAAAGGCACAGUCAACUUUUUUUUUUUUUAAUAAAAAAUUAAAAAUGAAAUAUCACAUUUACAUAAGUAUUCAGGUCCUUUACUUAGUACUUUGUUGAAGCACCUUUGGCAGUGAUUACAGCAUCAAGUCUUCUUAGGUAUGACUCUGGUGGUUCAUUUUUUUUUUACUAUCAAAUGAGGAGAGACAAACUUAUCACACAAGUCAGAGUUAUACUUAAACUAAAUCUUAAUAGUGAGAGCUUUGCAAUAGCAAUGGCUUGUCGACGAAUCACCGUUUCUGAUGAUCCGUUGAAAAGCGACGAGACAAAAGUACAAAGGUAUUUUAUAGCCAAGAUAUACCCCUUUCAACCUACAUAACGAACAACAGAUACAUAGAAUGGGUCACAAGGUUAAGAUUUGUAUGAAAGAUACCUAUAAUACAUAGCAGACAGUGUCUUCUGUGUCAAUAGUUUUCAUUGUAUAGACCAGUGUCUGCCCCUCCGACACCAAACUGGAACCAUCUCUCUCUGGUACCAUAGAACAGAAACAUUACCUCAUACUCUGGAAUGCUCUUUAGGUUGUAUCACCCAAAUGACAUCGUAAAUCUCUUGUCAGUGUU
ensembl:lncRNA